AAGAAUCCUCCACCAGCCUUUAUUCCCAGCUAACUCAGCCCCACCACCGGAGACAGACUCAUCAUCACCACCGCCUCCGCCUGACAACCAGGUUUUCCCCACUCCAGACCAACCCUUCUUCCCUGAGGUCCCAACUGGACCUACCCCGGAUCAAAGUCAACCCGCAACAGCGUCACCAGCCAAUGGCACCAUUCCAAUCCCAACAGCAACUCAACCAGCCAAACCGGCUAAGAAAGUGGCGGUUGCGAUCUCGGUUGCGAUUGUCACUCUGGGAAUGCUAUCGGGUCUUGCAUUCUUUUUAUACCGCCACCGGGUUAAGCACCCAAGCGAGACUCAGAAACUCGUCGGAGGCAAUUCUCAAAGACUCGCAAAUGAAUCUGUAGUACCCAACUCAAGUGUUCUUUACAUGGGCACUGUGCAGCCAGGCAGGACAUCGGGGGAACUAAAUGGAACAACAAAUGAAGCCAAUGUUUCUCCUUAUCGGAAGCUAAAUUCUAUCAAGACAUCGGAUCGUUAUAGGCCUAGCCCUGAUUUGCAGCCUCUGCCGCCAUUGCCUAGGCCUCCUUCACAUCAUGACAUUGACAACGAGAAUUCUCCAUCAUCUUCAGUUUCAUCGUCGGACGAGGAGAGCCACGGGACCGCAUUUUACACCCCGCAGGGCUCUUCCAUCAGCAACGAUGACGGCUUUUACACGCCGGCGGCUGUUUCGGCUUCCCGCCCGGUUAGUAAUAGCACCUGGGCGAAGCCUGCUAAUGGUCGUUCUGUUCCUCAUUCUAAAAGAACCUCUCCCA
rnacentral:misc_RNA from 1 species